rnacentral:piRNA from 1 species
GACAGAUGAAUGAAGUACCUACGGAAAU